AGUGAACGCUGGCGGUAGGCCUAACACAUGCCAGUCGAACGGCAGCACAGUAAGAGCUUGCUCUUACGGGUGGCGAGUGGCGGACGGGUGAGGAAUACAUCGGAAUCUACUUUUUCGUGGGGGAUAACGUAGGGAAACUUACGCUAAUACCGCAUACGACCUACGGGUGAAAGCAGGGGAUCUUCGGACCUUGCGCGAUUGAAUGAGCCGAUGUCGGAUUAGCUAGUUGGCGGGGUAAAGGCCCACCAAGGCGACGAUCCGUAGCUGGUCUGAGAGGAUGAUCAGCCACACUGGAACUGAGACACGGUCCAGACUCCUACGGGAGGCAGCAGUGGGGAGUAUUGGACAAUGGGCGCAAGCCUGAUCCAGCCAUACCGCGUGGGUGAAGAAGGCCUUCGGGUUGUAAAGCCCUUUUGUUGGGAAAGAAAAGCAGCAGGUUAAUACCCCGCUGUUCUGACGGUACCCAAAGAAUAAGCACCGGCUAACUUCGUG
rnacentral:rRNA from 1 species